rnacentral:rRNA from 2 species
GCAAGAUCGCAAGGACUUGUGGAGCGCUUAGAAGUGAGAAUGCCGGUAUGAGUAGCGAAAGAUCAGUGAGAAUCUGAUCCACCGAAUGACUAAGGUUUCCUGGGGAAGGCUCGUCCUCCCAGGGUUAGUCGGGACCUAAGCCGAGGCCGCAAGGCGUAGGCGAUGGAUAACAGGUUGAUAUUCCUGUACUAGUUAAUCAUGUUUGAACGAUGGAGGGACGCAGGAGGCUAUGGUGUGCACACGAUUGGAAAUGUGUGUUCAAACGUCAAGUCUGGUGAUGAGUCAAAUGCUUAUCGCUAAGGACAAGGCGCGACGAGGACCGAAUUUUAGUAGGGAAGCGCCAGAUGUCACACUGCCGAGAAAAGCUUCUAGUUAGUGAUUAAUUACCCGUACCGCAAACCGACACAGGUAGUCGAGGAGAGUAUCCUAAGGUGAGCGAGUGAACUCUCGUUAAGGAACUCGGCAAAAUGACCCCGUAACUUCGGGAGAAGGGGUGCUGCACGCAAGUGCAGCCGCAGUGAAAAGGCCCAGGCGACUG